AGAACGAACGCUGGCGGCAUGCCUAACACAUGCAAGUCGAACGAGACCUUCGGGUCUAGUGGCGCACGGGUGCGUAACGCGUGGGAAUCUGCCCUUGGGUUCGGGAUAACAGUUGGAAACGACUGCUAAUACCGAAUGAUAUCUUCGGAUCAAAGAUUUAUCGCCCAGGGAUGAGCCCGCGUAGGAUUAGCUUGUUGGUGAGGUAAGAGCUCACCGAAGGCGACGAUCCUUAGCUGGUCUGAGAGGAUGAUCAGCCACACGUGGGACUG
rnacentral:rRNA from 1 species